UUAAGAUGUAUGAAGGUGGGUGUUUGUUAUAUUGGUCAGUUAACGUACUGUACUCACCAAGGGCCCCCGUGCUGACUUUGGGUGCAAGAAGCAAUAGAGCUGGGACAAGAGGAACAGCUAAUGGAGCUGUGAUGUUGCAGAAGGCUGGCCACAUACAACUGUUCCUGGCUGUUGGGACCCUCAUUUUGUGCUGGUACUGCUGAGGAUCUCUCCUGAAGGAUGGGCUGAAGAAGGCUGUAGGAAGAUUGGUACCAAAAAGGAGAAUUCAUGGGCACUGUGGUAGUAUCCUUCUGCCCCUGCUCUGAGGGGACCCCGUUGGUAUUACAGCGAUGAAGAAGGUGAGCAAGAAACAAACCUGGGAAUAUUUUGCAAGUUCUGCCAGUAUCACUCCUGUGUGUUUGCCUGUAAGGACUGUAAGAGACAUGAAGCAGUCAGGAGAGGCUGUACCAUUGCAGGAGGGGUUCCCGUGUCAGGCAGAUCAUCAUCAUUAAGCCAUCCCUAUGGCCUGGGUAGCUACCUACAGCCCUUUAAGAUUACUGAAGACACUUGCAAGGGGUUUAAGAGGUUUUGGAGCAUGCCUUAGUGUAUCUCUGUCUUGACACUACUGAAUCCUGGUAAGCCCUUUGUUAACCUUGGCAGAGAGUUGUGAAACCUCCUCUAUGAAACAGAGGUCACGUUUAUACCCAUCCUUUUCUUAUAAGUUAACAACAACAACAAAAGAUGCAAAUAAUGGUUUUGCACAUUGUCUGUCAUGUAAAAAUACCAAGCUCCACAGCUGGUCUCCAUUUGCUGGCCACAGACAUGUAGGGUCAGGUUUGGGGGGUAGAAGAGACAGGGAUGCUUAAGUUGCAAGUGAGGAUACACUAACUGAAAAUUACAGCUCAAAUUCUGCUCCAGUUUGGGAAGACCGAGACAUUUUUCUACUUUGAACUGGGGCAACCAACCAACCAACUGGUCUGAGCCUUUUUUUUUUUUUUUUUUUUUUCCCUGAGCUUUGGAGGAAGUGUUUAUGCCAGCUGUGAGCACACCUUCAGACACAGAACAGCACUUGCUGCAGCUUCACUUCGAGGUCUUGGUGCUGUCAAGGGCUGAGAGUUUAAAACUAGCUGAGCCUCCCACGUGGCAACAUGAUUUACUAAACCACUAAGAUAUUGGGUCAGCUUUGUAAAUCAUUUUAAUUAUUGCACUAAACAGGUUGUGGAGAUGGAUCAAUAGAAAAUAUGACAUUUAGGCUCACAAUGCUGUGCAUUCAUUAUGGGAGAGAAAUUAUAUUAACUGAUUUAGGAGCUAAUAAUAACUGAAAAUAACAAUUUAAUGGAAGCCUUCCAAUCCUGCACUUUGAAGCAGGAUACUGCUGUACACAGUCUACCCAUUUUAAUCUCAGUCAAGUAUACAUAGCAAUUUUUUUGACUCUCAGAAAUGUCAGUCAAGUGCAAGUAACUUACCGAAUUUCAGCAUCCCAUAUAUUACAUUAUAAUAAAACAAAAUCAAAGAAACUGUCAACAACCAUUUUACAUACAGGCAGGGUCACAUAAACCAGGGACAUGAAAAAUGAGAAAAUGCAUCACACUAUAAUAAUGUGGAGGUCUUGCACACUGGGGCUAUUUUCCACUUGCAAUUAGUAUUUCCAUGACCACAGUUGUACUGCUGGGCUUAAAAGGUGUUUACGUCUUUCUAAGGUGGUGAGUUUUGGUCUCAAAUAUCUGAGUACUAAAUAUAUGGUACGGUAUAUCUAUAUAUAUACCAUAUGGUAUAUGGUGUAUAUAUAUAUAUAGAAAGAGAGAGAGAGAGAAACUAAUCUCUCCUGUGCAGUGAAUGCCAGGUGCUACCAUUCAGUAGCAACUGCCAGCAUUGUCUUAUUGCAAUUAUUUCACAGUGGCUAAACUAAAUUUGGUUCACUGUGGCAUGUUUUUUCCUCAAUACAUGUACAACCUGUGCUGUUAAAAUAUUUUCUUUUGAAAUAAACUGUACGUUGUGACUAAUUAAUGCCUAACAGCCAUUGACUAACUAUACUGAACCAAGCAGGCAUGACUGGGGACAGAAUUUAAGCUGCGAUCAGGUACUGCACCUCUGUCACCUGCUCUGUAGAAAGCCUGCAGCCUGCUGAUACCCAGUUGUCCCAGCAGCCCUGCGCUCCGUGUUUUUCAGGGAGGGUUAAGCUUUUCUUUAAACCCUCUGGCUAGAUAGCAUUUGAAUUAUGCACUUCAUUGCACCCCAAUUAGCUACAAAUGCAUUGCAGAAAUCAUUAUCAGUUUAUUUGGGAAAACACCUUAUUUUGCUAUUUGGUUCAGCAUAUGAAGAAAAAAAAAACACACGCACCCUUUUUGACUGAGAAGAACUUGUUUUAGAGCAGAGUGAAACUUUGAGCCAUGGGCAAAUCAUGCUGCUCCUACUUAUUUAGCUGUCCCCUUGGGCUCCAGCCAGCUGUUUUGGGAACACAGGCUGCUCGAAUCAAAACAAAUGGCUUCAGCACGACCACAGAACUGACUUGAGCACGUUCCCUGCAUGGGCUGUGCAGCACGGCUAUCUCCUACUUCAGAGAACCCACAGCAGGUGAAUUUUAGUGUCCCCAGGUAAACAGUCCUUGGAGCUUCCCACACCACCUCCCCCUCCUCCCUAUGUGUAAUUGUGUUCCCGGCUGUACACUACAGAUCGGGUGGAUAUUUCUCUCAGGCUCUGUAAAUGCUAGCAGCAACAGCUGAGUGCUGAAUCGAGGGACACAUGCUAUGUCAAACAUGUGGCAUUUUCAUGGCACCAAGCGUGAGCAGUGCUUUCUCUGGUGCUGCUCUGCUCCAAGAUACCGGAGCGGCAAGGUUUGAGUUACCCCGGGCAAUGAGCCUAAGCUUUGCUGACUUUUCUAUGCACGUUUAUGACCACAUUGGCAAAUACUUUCUGAAUCCAACAGAACUCCACGUUUCCUUUUGAGACGAUUUGUCUUGGUGAAAUACUGUAGUCUAGAGUAAGAUCUAUCUGAUUUCAAAAUAAUUAACUCUUGGAUUAAUAAAGAGAUUUCAUUUCUUGAAAAAAAAUGAAAAAAGUUUUAAGACUUUUGACACCAUAGCAAGCUGGAUUUAGUUUCAUUUACUUGGUCUUGCUAUUAAAUCAUGCUACAGUUCAGAUCUUGACAGGUACUUAGUGUGUGUUUCUUAAUUACUAUUUGCUUUUGU